rnacentral:rRNA from 1 species
GAUGAACGCUGGCGGCGUGCCUAAUACAUGCAAGUCGAGCGAACAGACGAGGAGCUUGCUCCUCUGACGUUAGCGGCGGACGGGUGAGUAACACGUGGAUAACCUACCUAUAAGACUGGGAUAACUUCGGGAAACCGGAGCUAAUACCGGAUAAUAUAUUGAACCGCAUGGUUCAAUAGUGAAAGACGGUUUUGCUGUCACUUAUAGAUGGAUCCGCGCCGCAUUAGCUAGUUGGUAAGGUAACGGCUUACCAAGGCAACGAUGCGUAGCCGACCUGAGAGGGGGAUCGGCCACCCUGGAACUGGGACACGGUCCAGACUCCUAAGGGAGGCAGCAGUAGGGAAUCUUCCGGAAUGGGCGGAAGCCUGACGGAGCAAAGCCGCGUGAGUGAUGAAGGUCUUCGGAUCGUAAAACUCUUUUAUUAGGGAAGAACCAAUGUGUAAGUAACUAUGCACGUCUUGACGGUAACUAAUCAGAAAGCCACGGCUAACUACGUG